UACGUAGGUGGCAAGCGUUGUCCGGAUUUACUGGGUGUAAAGGGCGUGUAGCCGGGUUGACAAGUCAGAUGUGAAAUCCUGCGGCUUAACCGCAGAACUGCAUUUGAAACUGUUAUUCUAGAGUAUGGGAGAGGUAGGUGGAAUUCUUGGUGUAGGGGUAAAAUCCGUAGAGAUCAAGAGGAAUACUCAUUGCGAAGGCGACCUGCUAGAACAUAACUGACGCUGAUGCACGAAAGCGUGGGUAUCGAACAGG
rnacentral:rRNA from 1 species